GGAAGUGUAGCUCAGUGGUAGAGUACUUGACUAGUAUGUGGGAAGUCCUGGGUUCAAUCCCUGGUGCCUCCC
rnacentral:tRNA from 1 species